AACGAACGCUGGCGGCAGGCCUAACACAUGCAAGUCGAGCGAGAUCUUCGGGUCUAGCGGCGGACGGGUGAGUAACGCGUGGGAAUAUGCCCUUCUCUGCGGAAUAGCCUCGGGAAACUGAGCGUAAUACCGCAUACGCCCUUUGGGGGAAAGAUUUAUCGGAGAAGGAUUAGCCCGCGUUGGAUUAGGUAGUUGGUGGGGUAACGGCCUACCAAGCCGACGAUCCAUAGCUGGUUUGAGAGGAUGAUCAUCCACACUGGGACUGAGACACGGCCCAGACUCCUACGGGAGGCAGCAGUGGGGAAUCUUAGACAAUGGGGGCAACCCUGAUCUAGCCAUGCCGCGUGAGUGAUGAAGGCCUUAGGGUUGUAAAGCUCUUUCAGCUGGGAAGAUAAUGACGGUACCAGCAGAAGAAGCCCCGGCUAACUCCGUG
rnacentral:rRNA from 1 species